AUUGAACGCUAGCGGGAUGCUUUACACAUGAAAGUCGAACGAGUGGCGGACGGGUGAGUAAUAUAUCGGAACGUGCACAGUAGCGGGGGAUAACUCCUCGAAAGAGUGGCUAAUACCGCAUAGUAUUGGAGCGGCCGAUAUCGGAUUAGCUAGUUGGUGGGGUAAAGGAUCACCAAGGCAACGAUCCGUAGCUGGUUUGGGAGGGCGACCAGGCACACUGUGACUGAGACACGGCCCAGACGCCGACGGGAGGCAGCAGUGGGGAAUUGUGGACAAUGGGGGAAACCCGGAGCCAGUCAUCCCGCGUGUAUGAGAAGGCCUUCGGGUUGUAAAGUACUUUUUGCAGAGAAGCGGUAUCUGCAGAAUAAGCACCGGCUAACUACGUGCCAGCAGCCGCGGUAAUAC
rnacentral:rRNA from 1 species